AUGAAAGGGCCACUACACUACAGACUACCAGCUUGCACUUCCAGACGAAGCACUACACUACAUACAAGAUCCAACCAACAGACAGACAUGGAACUAGGCAACGCCACACGGUCCCCUUGGCAAUGUGGGAGGCUACUCCUUGGUGGCGGCGACCUUCUUCUUGGGGGACUUGGCGGCGGCCUUCUUCUUGGGCGACUUGGUGGCCUCCUUCUCGGCGGCGGCGGCCAACUUCUUGGGGAGCAGCACGGGGUUGAUGUUGGGGAUCACGCCGCCGUGGGCGAUGGUGACGCCGGCCAGCAGCCUGCCGAGCUCCUGGUCGUUGCGGACGGCGAGAAGCAGGUGCCGCGGCACGAUGCGGGUCUUCUUGUUGUCCUUGGCCGCGUUGCCGGCCAGCUCCAGGACCUGCGAUUCAUCAACCAAGAACGAAAUCGGUUACUCCGUCGAACAGAGGAAGAAGAAGGGGCAGGACAAGAACGCGGCGGAUGCUCGAGGAGGGGGGAGGAGAGGGGGUACCUCGGCGGCGAGGUACUCGAGGACGGCGGCGAGGUAGACGGGGGCGCCGGAGCCGACGCGCUGCGCGUAGCGGCCCUUCUUGAGGAAGCGCCCGAUGCGGCCGACGGGGAACUGGAGCCCGGCCUUGACGGACCGGGUCACCGCCUUCUUCCUCUCGCCAACCUUCCUCCCGGCCAUCUCGCUUGCUUGCUUGCUCCUCCGGCGAACUGGAAACCACUCGGGAUGCGGGGGAGCUCUCGGGUGCUGCUGGAUCGGAGAAUGCUCUGA
rnacentral:rRNA from 1 species